rnacentral:rRNA from 1 species
GACAAAGGUGGCCGAGCGUUAGGCGGAAUCACUGGGCUUAAAGCGUGUGUAGGCGGGUGCCUAAGUACCUUGUGAAAUCCCACGGCUCAACCGUGGAACUGCUCGGUAGUACUGGGUGCCUUGAGCCAACUAGGGGCGACCGGAACGAAACGGUGGAGCGGUGAAAUGCGUAGAUAUCGUUUGGAACGCCGAUGGUGAAA